UAAUACGAGGGGGGCGAGCGUUGUUCGGAAUUAUUGGGCGUAAAGGGCGCGUAGGCGGUCUGACAAGUCUGAUGUGAAAUCUCUGGGCUCAACCCAGAGUCUGCAUUAGAAACUGUCGGGCUUGAGUAUGGGAGAGGUAAGUGGAAUUUCCGGUGUAGCGGUGAAAUGCGUAGAUAUCGGAAGGAACACCUGUGGCGAAAGCGGCUUACUGGACCAUAACUGACGCUGAGGCGCGAAAGCUAGGGGAGCAAACAGGAUUAGAUACCCUGGUAGUCCUAGCCCUAAACGAUGAUUGCUUGGUGUGACAGGUACCCAAUCCUGUCGUGCCGAAGCUAACGCGAUAAGCAAUCCGCCUGGGGAGUACGGUCACAAGGCUGAAACUCAAAGGAAUUGACGGGGGCCCGCACAAGCGGUGGAGCAUGUGGUUUAAUUCGACGCAACGCGAAGAACUUACCUGGGCUCGAAAUGUAGUGGAAUCCGGUAGAAAUAUCCGCGUCUAGCAAUAGACCGCUAUAUAGGUG
rnacentral:rRNA from 1 species